rnacentral:ncRNA from 1 species
UUCAAUAUUUGGCAAAGCCAAUGAAAAUUGGCGACGCAAAGCUAUUAGUCUAAGGCGAUUUUCGCUAUGACCGUAAAGUUGCAAUU